rnacentral:misc_RNA from 1 species
AACGCACCUUGCGCUCUCUGGUAUUCCGGAGAGCAUGUCUGUUUGAGUGUCAUGAACUCUUCAACCCACCGGUUCCUUGUUGGACCUAAUUGGUGUUUGGAUUUUGAGUGUUGCUAUUUAGUUAGCUCAUUCGUAAUACAUUAGCAUCUCAAUUUCGUAAUCGGAUUGACUCAGCGUAAUAGACUAUUCGCUGAGGACACCAUUUUGGUGGCCGAGACAUGAAAGAGUGGAAGCUUCAAACCCCUCCUGGUCAUUUUUAGAUUAGACCUCAGAUCAGGCAGGAUUACCCGCUGAACUUAA